CCUAAACCAUUGCCAUUGGGUUUGAACUAACUUUAGGUAGAGGAAUGUCUGCGACUAAGCCGAGGGCCACUGCAUAAGGGUUAUUGAUGACAAAACAGGUUGGAGACUUCAUGAGAUUUUGACAGAUGGCGGGAAACCCUCAUCAACUGGAGAUCAGCCGGUAAAAAGGUCAUCGCUGCGUCUUCACGACUACCUUAUGUGCUGACCUGCGACCUAAAUCUACAUUUUCCGGAUGGUUUCCGGAUGAUAACUCAAGAACGCUUGGGCCUAGGAUCAUGAAACUUAAUAGGAAUCAUCAAGCCAACCUGCAGCAGCCCAAACUGGGGGCCAAAGAGAUGGCUGACCUUGAAAAGGAGCUCGAACUUGACCUUGAAAACUUGGACGUAAAUACAGACAUAAGUAUCUUGGAGAGUAAAUUGCUGGUGUUUGAAAACUUGGACAGACAUCCAGACAUAAGUAUCUUAGAGAGUGUAAAUGUCCCAUGCUUGUAAAUGAAUCUUAGUUGAAAAUUGUGGUUGGCAAUGAUGCAGUGUUUGGUAACAGUGUUGUGUUAUUGCCCUUGGUAAACAUAGAUCUUAUAGGAAGCUGUUCAAAAGAAGUUGUCUAUAUUAUCUUCAAAAUGUAUAACUUCAAUAGAAAAUCUGUCACCACUGUUUCUUGGAUUAAAAAAAAGGUACUUUUGUUUUUAGGAAAUCUAAUGAAGUCUAAUUCAGCCUCAUUCUAGGUGUAAUGCUUGUUAAUAAAGUGUAAUCUCAGAUUGACCUGUGCAGUCUGUACAGGCUUAUCAGUGAGGACACUUUCCGCCAAUACUUGAUUAUUUCUAAGAAGAGACUUCUUCUAAUGU